GAUGAACGCUGGCUAUAGGCUUAACACAUGCAAGUCGAGGGGCAACGACGGGUAAGCUUGCUUCGCCUGGCGUCGACCGGCGCACGGGUGAGUAACGCGUAUCCAACCUGCCUCUCACUGAGGGAUAACCCGUCGAAAGUCGGCCUAAUACCUCGUGCCCUCUUCUUCGGGCAUCCAACGUCGAGUAAAUAUUUCUCCCUUCAAGGUUGGCGAUGCGUCUGAUUAGCUGGUUGGCGGGGUAACGGCCCACCAAGGCGACGAUCAGUAGGGGUUCUGAGAGGAAGGUCCCCCACAUUGGAACUGAGACACGGACCAAACUCCUACGGGAGGCAGCAGUGAGGAAUAUUGGUCAAUGGGCGAGAGCCUGAACCAGCCAAGUAGCGUGAAGGAUGACGGCCUUAUGGGUUGUAAACUGCUUUUAUGCGGGGAUAAAGUGAGGGACGUGUCCUUCAUUGCAGGUACCGCAUGAAUAAGGACCGGCUAAUUCCGUG
rnacentral:rRNA from 1 species